UAUCCGUCUCUCUCAUCUCUCGUUUUCAAUUUCUCAAAUUGGGGAAGAAAUCCCUAAUCCCAUCUCCCUCCUUCAUCUCAGCGAAAUCACCGCUGCUCCUGGUCGCCGGCUCCAGGUCCUCGGCGUCACGGAGUCGCCGGCGGCUCGUGCCAGCACCCUCCGUCUCCGUCCAGCUCUCUCUUUUCUGGACAGAACAACGCCUCUUCCAUCUCUCGUCUUCUCCGGCAAAUUCACGCUCGAAGCGACCUCUUUCGCGGUCGACCGACGUUGUUCGUUACUCUCCCAGACAGCCCCUUCAGCUGCUCAAACCUCCGCCACUCUCUCUCUCUCGGCUGCAUCACUGGGCAGCCGCCACUGUCGCCAGCUAUGGACCGGCGACGAGCCGCUGUCACCAACAUCUUCGUAGAGUCGCCGUCGACGCUGACUCUGGCGUGAGACACGGCGCCGGACUUCGUCCUUGGACUUCGUCCUUCGGUGACCGAAGUCAGCAGCCGUCGUCUACCCGGACUUCGUCCUGCUGGCAUGAUUCAAGCUUAGAAUGCUGUGCCUACUUGAUUCUCAAGUGUUCAUGCUUUCAUGUUUCUAUCAUAUGGAGGAAGGAGUGUUACCUCUUGAAAGUAGCUAUUGCUCUUGAGCCUCUGCUCCUAGAACUCAAACUCUCUUAACUCUCAAAACUCACUAUGUUGCUGGAAAAAUUCCAAGUAUGUGGAAGGGAGUUCAUAGGUGGUGUGGAGGGGGUUUUUAUAGGCAGAGUGUGUACUCGUGAAGCCUUAAUUGGAGCUGCUGUAUUUCUUUGUUCUUUUCCUGCAGCAAAUUCUCCUUUUUUUUAUGAUUCUGCAGCAACUUUAACUGAAAUUUUGGUGGUGGUUUUGCAGGUGUACAAGGAAGGAUGCGGGGGUUUGUUGGGAGUAGGAGAUGGCUACUCUAAUUUGGCUCUCGGUUGAGGAGAGGAAGUGCAGGAGCAUACCUGUCAUUUAGAGCAAGGCUCCUAGUCUCCUUAAAAGGAACCUUGGGCUGCCAUGUUGCUGUCCGAGACGUGGGCUCGCUGCCGUCGGCCCGACGGCUGCUUCGGACAUGGCCUUGGAGGGUGUGAUUCGGGCUUGGGGAGAAGAUGCCCAAGUGUAUAUCUUGUAUUCUUAAAUUCCUUUGUACAAAAACUUUAUAUACUUAAAUCAUAUACCUCCACUUAUGCAUUGAGCAUUAAGCUUUGGGAUUUGUACUCGUUCUAAACCAGGGUGUCGAUUUUGUAUCCAUUAUGAACUUGUCUUUUGCUUUAACGGAAAAAAACACAUACUGUA